rnacentral:rRNA from 1 species
AUUGAACGCUGGCGGAAUGCUUUACACAUGCAAGUCGAACGGCAGCACGGACUUCGGUCUGGUGGCGAGUGGCGAACGGGUGAGUAAUGUAUCGGAACGUGCCCAGUCGUGGGGGAUAACGUAGUGAAAAUUACGCUAAUACCGCAUACGAUCUAUGGAUGAAAGCGGGGGAUCGCAAGACCUCGCGCGAUUGGAGCGGCCGAUAUCAUAUUAGGUAGUUGGUGGGGUAAAGGCCCACCAAGCCAACGAUCUGUAGCUGGUCUGAGAGGACGACCAGCCACACUGGAACUGAGACACGGUUCAGACUCCUACGGGAGGCAGCAGUGCGGAAUUUUGGACAAUGGGCGAAAGCCUGAUCCAGCCAUUCCGCGUGCAGGAUGAAGGCCCUCGGGUUGUAAACUGCUUUUGUACAGAACGAAAGGGUUUCUACUAAUACUAGGAGCUCAUGACGGUACUGUAAGAAUAAGCACCGGCUAACUACGUGCCAGCAGCCGCCGCAG